CACGAGCGCAACCCUCGUCCUUAGUUGCCAUCAUUAAGUUGGGCACUUUAAGGAGACUGCCGGUGACAAACCGGAGGAAGGUGGGGAUGACGUCAAGUCAUCAUGCCCCUUACAUCCUGGGCUACACACGUACUACAAUGCAACGGACAAAGGGCAGCCAACUAGCGAUAGUGCGCUAAUCCCAUAAACCGUUGCUCAGUUCAGAUUGCAGGCUGCAACUCGCCUGCAUGAAGGCGGAAUCGCUAGUAAUCGCAGGUCAGCAUACUGCGGUGAAUACGUUCCCGGGCCUUGUACACACCGCCCGU
rnacentral:rRNA from 1 species